ensembl:lncRNA
CCAGAGUUUACUUAUAAAGCUCACUUACAGAACUCAGUUAGAAACCUCAAGCAUUUGAAGGACGCACAUUUGAAGGAAUAUCAACUCAUUACGGUGACAUUUUUGAUUUUAAAAGCUCUCCGAAAUGACCAAGAAAAUGGAAACAAGAAAAAGCACGACUCCAGCAGAUAAGAAAGAUUCAGAUCAAGAUUGUAAGACCAGGACUGCUAAAAGAAAGGCCAGUCCUGAAAAGAAGACCCCAAUAAAAAGGAGGAGGGUCGCUGAGCAGGCUGGUCCUUCCACCAGCUCGGAUGUGGUCAAAGGAGUGAAGCGCAAGGUUGUGCAAGAUGGAGAGGGCACAACGAACCAAGCAAAGAAGGCUAAACUUCUCGACCAUAUGAGUGGUGACAAGGAGCAAGCGUCUUCCUCGCUGGACACUGGUAAAGACUUGAACAACAAACAAGUGUGUCCAAGAAAUGGUAAA